GACGAACGCUGGCGGCGUGCUUAACACAUGCAAGUCGAACGGUGAAGCGCCUUCCUUUUUGGUGGGUGUGGAUGAGUGGCGAACGGGUGAGUAACACGUGAGUAACCUGCCCCCUUCUUCUGGAUAACCGCAUGAAAGUGUGGCUAAUACGGGAUAUUCUGGGUCUGUCGCAUGAUGGGUCUGGGAAAGAUAUUGUUUCGGUGGGGGAUGGGCUCGCGGCCUAUCAGCUUGUUGGUGGGGUGAUGGCCUACCAAGGCGGUGACGGGUAGCCGGCCUGGGAGGGUGGACGGUCACACUGGGACGGAGACACGGCCCAGACUCCUACGGGAGGCAGCAGUGGGGAAUAUUGCACAGUGGGCGCAAGCCUGAUGCAGCGACGCCGCGUGAGGGAUGGAGGCCUGCGGGUUGUGAACCUCUUUCGCCAGUGAAGCAGGCCUGCCUCGUUUGUGGGUGGGUUGACGGUAGCUGGAUAAGAAGCGCCGGCUAACUACGUG
rnacentral:rRNA from 1 species